rnacentral:rRNA from 1 species
AUUGAACGCUGGCGGUAUGCCUAACACAUGCAAGUCGAACGGCAGCACAGUAACUUCUUCCUCUUACGGGUUGGGGGUCGCGGGCGGGUUACAUCUACACCUGUCCCUACUUUUUCGUUGGGGCUAAGGUAGCCGGACUAACACUACUUACGCUUUCGAGCUGCGGGUGGAGGCAGGUGAUCUUCCGCCCUUUCGGGUUUGAAUAUGCCGAUGUCGGAUUAGCUAGUUGGCGGGGUAAAGGCCCACCAAGGCGACGAUCCGUAGCUGGUCUGAGAGGGCGACCAGCCACACUGGAACUGAGACACGGUCCAGACUCCUACGGGAGGCAGCAGUGGGGAAUAUUGGACAAUGGGCGCAAGCCUGAUCCAGCCAUACCGCGUGGGUGAAGAAGGCCUUCGGGUUGUAAAGCACUUUUGUUGGGAAAGAAAACCUGCGGGCUAAUACCCUCCUGUGCUGACGGUACCCAAAGAAUAAGCACCGGCUAACUACGUG